GGGUCAGGGGGGAGUGGGAAUUAGAUGGAUUUAUGCAUAGCGCAGGAGCGAGAAAGAGCACGGAGGAUUCCUCAGAGACUUGGAAUUAAUCUUCAGGUCUAAUGUUCAUGUAGUUUUUCAAAUCACACUGAGCCUGGUGUGUUCAAGGAAACGGUUGCCAAAAGAAAUAAUAUUGCCGUAAGAAAUAAUAUUUUCUGUAAAAUUGUCAGCAUUAUUUUAAAGUACCUUUUAAAUGCCCGUAAGCACCACUGAAAAUCUGUUUUCCCUGAGGAGUUAAAUGUCAGCCUUAAGCUCCUGAUCCUUCAGGAUUUAAAGAAGGUCACAAUAAAUAUUUAAUGAGUCUACGAGGACAGAUAUAGCUUCUACAAGAGCGACUAAGAAGAACCUUCUCUUUUCCAUCCAGGGUAGCGUCGGCUCCAGUGGUCUGGGAGUGGAAAAUGCUGCUGUCUAUAUAUAUCACCUAUAACAGAACAUACUGGACUUUCAAUUGCCAAUUCUAUCUAAAAUUGCAUGAAAUCUCUGUUACCUGGAAUCAGUUCAUUCGCUAAGCGGAAGUCACCUUGAAAUGCUCUGAAAGUCCUCGAUUCCCUCAAAUAUGCAUUUGAUUCCCUAAUUCAGUGAUUAGUGCUUGUAAUAACAUCAAGGUAAAUACACAAGAAGAUGAAAAGUGUUACUGAUACCUCAUAAGGGGAGGUUUCCAGCAACAGUUUCAUCAAAAGAAUCAAAGUCAGUUCCCAUUUAAGACCGGGAAUUAAUUGUGGAACUCUUUUUAGCUAUUCCAGCUUGUGACUCACUGUGCAAAGCUGCGUUGGCUCUAAGAUCUUUCUGUUUCACCCAGCAAUAGAACUAGCCUGGGAACUGAAGAGCAGCGGGAUGCAGGGAACUAUCAGCUAUGAAAAAUCCUGCAAUUUAUGGAACUUUUAAAAAUAAUAAACUGAAGCACCAAAAAGACAAAGGUUUCUGUUUU